rnacentral:lncRNA from 1 species
AGGAGGCGGGGCGCCUGUGGGAGCCGUGGAGGGAACUUUCCCAGUCCCCGAGGCGGAUCCGGUGUUGCAUCCUUGGAGCGAGCUGAGAGCUCGAGUACAGAACCUGCUAAGGCCAUCAAACCUAUUGAUCGGAAGUCAGUCCAUCAGAUUUGCUCUGGGCCGGUGGUACCGAGUCUAAGCACUGCGGUGAAGGAGUUAGUAGAAAACAGUCUGGAUGCUGGUGCCACUAAUAUUGUGCUGGGAUUACAGGCAUGAACCACCGCGCCUGGCCCCCGUUCUCCUUACUGGAUCUAAAGCUUAAGGACUAUGGAGUGGAUCUCAUUGAAGUUUCAGGCAAUGGAUGUGGGGUAGAAGAAGAAAACUUCGAAGGCUUAACUCUGAAACAUCACACAUCUAAGAUUCAAGAGUUUGCCGACCUACCUCAGGUUGAAACUUUUGGCUUUCGGGGGGAAGCUCUGAGCUCACUUUGUGCACUGAGGUGAUAAAAUAUUUUUAUCCAUUCACUUGACCCCUUAGAAAAACCUCUCUGAAAAUUAAUUGGAAUCAUUAUUAUUUACAGUUUUCUGUCUCAAUAUCUCAGCUUCCAGCUUCUGAAUUCUGUUUUGUCUCACUGCCAAUCUAAGUCCUAGUACUUCUGAAAUGUGAGCAAUAAAUGAAUGAAAUGAAGCAAA